rnacentral:rRNA from 1 species
AUUGAACGCUGGCGGCAGGCCUAACACAUGCAAGUCGAGCGGAUGAAGGGAGCUUGCUCCUGGAUUCAGCGGCGGACGGGUGAGUAAUGCCUAGGAAUCUGCCUGGUAGUGGGGGAUAACGUCCGGAAACGGGCGCUAAUACCGCAUACGUCCUGAGGAGAGAGUGGGGGAUCUUCGGACCUCACGCUAUCAGAUGAGCCUAGGUCGGAUUAGCUAGUUGGUGGGGUAAAGGCCUACCAAGGCGACGAUCCGUAACUGGUCUGAGAGGAUGAUCAGUCACACUGGAACUGAGACACGGUCCAGACUCCUACGGGAGGCAGCAGUGGGGAAUAUUGGACAAUGGGCGAAAGCCUGAUCCAGCCAUGCCGCGUGUGUGAAGAAGGUCUUCGGAUUGUAAAGCACUUUAAGUUGGGAGGAAGGGCAGUAAGUUAAUACCUUGCUGUUUUGACGUUACCAACAGAAUAAGCACCGGCUAACUUCGUG